rfam:Populus trichocarpa isolate Nisqually-1 chromosome 2, whole genome shotgun sequence.
ACCGACAUAGCCGAGUGAUAAGGCUGGGGACUGCAAAUCCUUUUUUCCCAGUUCAAAUUUGGAUGUCGCCU